rnacentral:rRNA from 1 species
UGGGGAAUAUUGCACAAUGGGCGAAAGCCUGAUGCAGCAACGCCGCGUGAGUGAUGAAGGCCUUCGGGUUGUAAAGCUCUGUCUUCUGGACGAUAAUGACGGUACCAGAGGAGGAAGCCACGGCUAACUACGUGCCAGCAGCCGCGGUAAUACGUAGGUGGCAAGCGUUGUCCGGAUUUACUGGGCGUAAAGGAUGCGUAGGCGGAUACUUAAGUCAGAUGUGAAAAUCCCGGGCUUAACUUGGGAACUGCAUUUGAAACUGGGUAUCUAGAGUGCGGGAGAGGAAAGUGGAAUUCCUAGUGUAGCGGUGAAAUGCGUAGAGAUUAGGAAGAACACCAGUGGCGAAGGCGACUUUCUGGACCGUAACUGACGCUGAGGCAUGAAAGCGUGGGGAGCAAACA